rnacentral:rRNA from 1 species
CCUACGGGAGGCAGCAGUGAGGAAUAUUGGUCAAUGGGCGGGAGCCUGAACCAGCCAAGUCGCGUGAGGGAAGACGGCCCUAUGGAUUGUAAACUUCUUUAGGCGGGGAGCAAAGCCGGGCACGCGUGCCCGGAGGGAGAGUACCCGCAGAAUAAGCAUCGGCUAACUCCGUGCCAGCAGCCGCGGUAAUACGGAGGAUGCGAGGGUUAUCCGGAUUUAUUGGGGUUAAAGGGUGCGUGGGCGGAAGUUUAAGGCAGCGGUGAAAUGUCCGGGGUUAACCCGGGCCGUGCGGUGGAAACUGGGGAGCUUGAGUGGGCGAGAGGUAUGCGGAAUGCGUGGUGUAGCGGUGAAAUGCAUAGAUAUCACGAAGAACUCCGGUUGCGAAGGCAGCAUACCGGAGCGCGACUGACGCUGAGGCGCGAAAGCGUGGGGAUCGAACAGGAUUAGAUACCCCAGUAGUC